rnacentral:rRNA from 1 species
AACGAACGCUGGCGGCAUGCCUAACACAUGCAAGUCGAACGAGACCUUCGGGUCUAGUGGCGCACGGGUGCGUAACGCGUGGGAACCUGCCCUUAGGUUCGGAAUAACUCCCCGAAAGGGGUGCUAAUACCGGAUAAUGUCUUCGGACCAAAGAUUUAUCGCCUUUGGAUGGGCCCGCGUUGGAUUAGCUAGUUGGUAGGGUAAAAGCCUACCAAGGCGACGAUCCAUAGCUGGUCUGAGAGGAUGAUCAGCCACACUGGGACUGAGACACGGCCCAGACUCAUACGGGAGGAAGCAGUGGGGAAUAUUGGACAAUGGGCGAAAGCCUGAUACAGCAAUGCCGCGUGAGUGAUGAAGGCCUUAGGGUUGUAAAGCUCUUUUACCCGGGAUGAUAAUGACAGUACCGGGAGAAUAAGCACCGGCUAACUCCGUG